rnacentral:rRNA from 1 species
UACAGAGGGUGCGAGCGUUGUCCGGAAUCACUGGGCGUAAAGGGCGCGUAGGCGGCUUGGUAAGUAGGGGGUGAAAUCUCAUGGCUCAACUGUGAGGCUGCCUUCUAGACUGCCGGGCUUGAGCACAGUAGAGGCGAGUGGAAUUCCAGGUGUAGCGGUGGAAUGCGUAGAGAUCGGGAAGAACAUCGGUGGCGAAGGCGGCUCGCUGGGCUGUUGCUGACGCUGAGGCGCGAAAGCGUGGGGAGCAAACAGG